GAUGAACGCUGGCGGCGUGCCUAAUACAUGCAAGUCGAGCGAACGGACGAGAAGCUUGCUUCUCUGAUGUUAGCGGCUGACGGGUGAGUAACACGUGGAUAACCUACCUAUAUUACUGGGAUAACUUCGGGAAACCGGAGCUACUACCGGAUGAUAUUUUGAACCGCAUGGUUCAAAAGUGAAAGACGGUCUUGCUGUCACUUAUAGAUGUAUCCGCGCUGCAUUAGCUAGUUGGUAAGGUAACGGCUUACCAAGGCAACGAUGCAUAGCCGACCUGAGAGGGUGAUCGGCCACACUGGAACUGAGACACGGUCCAGACUCCUACGGGAGGCAGCAGUAGGGAAUCUUCCGCAAUGGGCGAAAGCCUGACGGAGCAACGCCGCGUGAGUGAUGAAGGUCUUCGGAUCGUAAAACUCUGUUAUUAGGGAAGAACAUAUGUGUAAGUAACUGUGCACAUCUUGACGGUACCUAAUCAGAAAGCCACGGCUAACUACGUG
rnacentral:rRNA from 1 species